UCGUAUCACAUUUAAACACCGAUUCUCGUACGAUCACUGAAGUUAAGCAACGUCGAUCCUGGUCGGUACCUGGAUGGGUGACCGCUUGGGAAUACCAGGUGCCGUAAG
rnacentral:rRNA from 1 species